GUCUGAUCUUCCAGAGGGAUGAGUCAGCCACGCGCCGCCCUUCUCCAGCACCGCCCUCCUCUGUCUCUGGUUUUCCCACCCUCUCACUUGCCCUAGUCCCCACUCCGUACGACUCCCGCGCCCUCAAAGCAACCACGCUUUCAGGCCUCAGACGCCAUCACUACCCCUAGCGGCGAUACAGUGGGUAACAGGGCGGGCGAAGGAAAGGGGCGGGGGGCGGCGGGGCCGCGCAGGCGCAGUAUGCAGACUCGCAGGCCGUGGUCUCUUCCCUCCCCCCUCCCCCCCCCCGGAAAGGAGUGUGCACGCGCUUCGGGUGCGUGAAGGUGGAGGGUGAGAAGGCUAGCCCCCCUUGCGCUGGCCUCCGGCACGUUUCUAUCGGCUGUGGGGAAUUGGGAAGAAGAGCUUUGAGCCACUCGCUCUGCCAGGUAAUGUGGCUACGACACGGCCCGCUGUAGCGCCGGGCCUGAAUCUUAAAUCUGGGGUUAAUUCUGAACGAUGCUCCAGCUUGCGGCCCCCUUCGCCCGGCCCCGGCCGAACCACAGAGCCCUUUUCAGGCUUUGAGGGACUGAAGAGCUCAAGCGGCGCCCUUUGCCAAGUCCAUGCACACCACCGCUUCCGCCAGACACUCGGGUCUCUGAGGCACCUACUCUGAGAGCUCCAAAGGGAGGGUGAAGCCAGUUCUCCCCUUUUCCAAGAAGAGUCUGAGACUGAAACCUUGAUGCUGAGAACACCUUUCCCCUUUCUGAUGCAAGCAGCUUGCAGAUUGUUAAUGCCGGAGCCUGAGGCAAGAAUGUCACAGACCUUUCCCAGGUGUUUGUUAAGUACCAGUUUAAGAUGGCAAGACCAACACUGUUGAUUCUGGGGCCAGAACUGGGACAAGUCCUUGAUCUGUCUACACUAGCUGUAUACACCAUCUACCUCCUGAGAGGAUUCAUUUUUCUUCCUAUGCUUGUUGCUGCAUCAGAAUGGAGCAUGUACUUUCCCACCAGCCAGGAUAUCCUGCCCCACCCCCCACCAUGUUGCUGGCUCCUGACCAUUCAAAUUCAGCUCGAAUGCACCUUAAGAGAGAGGCCUUUCCUAAAUAGUCAAUGUGAAGUAGUCACCACUCCCCCAAGCCCUUCUCGGUCACUUCAUCCUUGCCUUAUUUUCUCCAUUGUACUGAACAAUCUGAAGUUACCUUAUAUAGCUAUUUACUUCUUUGCUAAUUGAGAGAUUCACCCACUAGAAGGUGCAGGCAUACCUGGAAAUAUUGUAGGUUUAGCUCCAGACUUCUGCAAUAAAGUAAACUACACAGA